UACAGAGGGUGCAAGCGUUGUUCGGAAUUACUGGGCGUAAAGGGCUCGUAGGUGGCCAAUUAAGUCAGGCGCGAAAUCCCCAGGCUCAACUUGGGAACUGCGUCUGAUACUGGUUGGCUUGAAUUCGGGAGAGGGAUGCAGAAUUCCAGGUGUAGCGGUGAAAUGCGUAGAUAUCUGGAGGAAUACCGGUGGCGAAGGCGGCAUCCUGGACCGAGAUUGACACUGAGGAGCGAAAGCCAGGGGAGCAAACGGG
rnacentral:rRNA from 1 species